rnacentral:tRNA from 1 species
GGAGAGGUGGCUGAGCGGCCGAAAGCACCGCCUUGCUAAGGCGGCGGGCCCGUCAGGGUCCCUCGGGUUCGAAUCCCGACCUCUCCGCCA